rnacentral:lncRNA from 1 species
AAUCACCACAGAUAGCCACUGAGACCCUCUCUCAACUUCAUCUGCAUGUGUGAGAGGCCAGUUUGAGGUGUGAGAGUACUUCUCCAAUUUGGACUUGCCUUUGUCAUGUUUCCUGCCUAUCUGAGAGAGACCCUGUGAAACCCAGGAUGAAGGGAGGCAGUAAGGUUAAUGGCCCAGCCAUCUUUUGCUGACACCCAUCUCUGGGGUCUCAGGUAUGAUUCUAUCACCCAAAGACACCUAAACAAAUCACCAGACUACAUUCCAAUCCCCAUGGGACCUGAUUAUUGCACACAGCUUCUUUCAGCAAUGAGUCAGAAGAGCAGUUUUUCAGAACCAACUCACAGUCUGAAAAAGCAACCUCCUUUUUCAUAUAUACACUUAACAUCUUAAAAAAAAAAAAGC